rnacentral:rRNA from 1 species
UACGUAGGGGGCAAGCGUUGGUCCGGAUUUAUUGGGCGUAAAGCGCGUGUAGGCGGCUGGGUAGGUCCGCUGUGAAAACUCGAGGCUCAACCUCGAGACGUCGGCGGAAACCAUCCAGCUAGAGUCCGGAAGAGGAGAGUGGAAUUCCUGGUGUAGCGGUGAAAUGCGCAGAUAUCAGGAAGAACACCCGUGGCGAAAGCGGCUCUCUGGGACGGUACUGACGCUGAGACGCGAAAGCGUGGGGAGCGAACAGG